AUUGAACGCUGGCGGCAGGCCUAACACAUGCAAGUCGAACGGUAGCACAGAGAGCUUGCUCUCGGGUGACGGGUGGCGGACGGGUGAGUAACGUCUGGGAAACUGCCCGAUGGAGGGGGAUAACUACUGGAAACGGUAGCUAAUACCGCAUAACGUCGCAAGACCAAAGUGGGGGACCUUCGGGCCUCACACCAUCGGAUGUGCCCAGAUGGGAUUAGCUAGUAGGUGGGGUAAUGGCUCACCUAGGCGACGAUCCCUAGCUGGUCUGAGAGGAUGACCAGCCACACUGGAACUGAGACACGGUCCAGACUCCUACGGGAGGCAGCAGUGGGGAAUAUUGCACAAUGGGCGCAAGCCUGAUGCAGCCAUGCCGCGUGUAUGAAGAAGGCCUUCGGGUUGUAAAGUACUUUCAGCGGGGAGGAAGGCGGUGAAGUUAAUAGCUUAACCGAUUGACGUUACCCGCAGAAGAAGCACCGGCUAACUCCGUGCCAGCCGCCGCGGUAA
rnacentral:rRNA from 1 species